rnacentral:rRNA from 1 species
CCCAGACUCCUACGGGAGGCAGCAGUGGGGAAUAUUGCACAAUGGGGGAAACCCUGAUGCAGCGACGCCGCGUGAGUGAAGAAGUAUUUCGGUAUGUAAAGCUCUAUCAGCAGGGAAGAUAAUGACGGUACCUGAGUAAGAAGCCCCGGCUAACUACGUGCCAGCAGCCGCGGUAAUACGUAGGGGGCAAGCGUUAUCCGGAUUUACUGGGUGUAAAGGGAGCGUAGACGGCAUGGCAAGUCUGAAGUGAAAGCCCGGGGCUCAACCGCGGGACUGCUUUGGAAACUGUUAAGCUGGAGUGCAGGAGAGGUAAGUGGAAUUCCCAGUGUAGCGGUGAAAUGCGUAGAUAUUAGGAGGAACACCAGUGGCGAAGGCGGCUUACUGGACUGUAACUGACGUUGAGGCUCGAAAGCGUGGGGAGCAAACAGGAUUAGAUACCCGGGUAG